UUCCUCGUCUUCUUACAUUUUACGCCUUGAAAGCAAAUACAAACCAGGUUAUGUAGUGGAUGGAGCAGAGGAAAAGAGUUCUUCCUCAUCUUCUUACCUUUCACGUCUUGAAAGCAAAUACAAGCCGGGUUAUGUAGUGGAUGAAGUAGAUGAAGAGAAUUCUUGUCCCUCAUCUCGUAUUGCUCGCCUUGAGAGCAAAUACAAGCCGGGUUAUGGAGUGGAUGGAGCAGAGGAAAAGAGUUCUUCCUCAUCUUCUUACAUUUCACGUCUUGAAAGCAAAUACAAGCCGGGUUAUGUAGUGGAUGAAAUAGAGGAAAAGAAUUCUUCUCCCUCAUCUCGUAUUGCACGCCUUGAGAGCAAAUACAAACCCAGUUAUGUAGUGGAUGGAGCAGACGAAAAGAGUUCUUCCUCAUCUUCUUACAUUUCACGUCUUGAAAGCAAAUACAAGCCGGGUUAUGUAGUAGAUGAAAUAGAGGAAAAGAAUUCUUCUCCCUCAUCUCGUAUUGCACGCCUUGAGAGCAAAUACAAACCCAGUUAUGUAGUGGAUGGAGCAGAGGAAAGAGUUCUUCCUCAUCUUCUUACAUUUCACGUCUUGAAAGCAAAUACAAGCCGAGUUAUGGAGUGGAUGAAGUAGAGGAAGAGAAUUCUUCUCCCUCAUCUCGUAUUGCACGCCUUGAGAGCAACUACAAGCCGGGUUAUGGAGUGGAUAGAGCAGAGGAAAAGAGUUCUUCCUCAUCUUCUUACAUUUCACGUCUUGAAAGCAAAUACAAGCCGAGUUAUGGAGUGGAUGAAGUAGAGGAAGAGAAUUCUUCUCCCUCAUCUCGUAUUGCACGCCUUGAGAGCAAAUACAAGCCGGGUUAUGGAGUGGAUGGAGCAGAGGAAAAGGUUUCUUCCUCAUCUUCUUACAUUUCACGUCUUGAAAGUAGGUACAAGCCGAGUUAUGGAGUGGAUGAAGUAGACGAAGAGAAUUCUUCUCCCUCAUCUCAUAUUGUACGCCUUGAGAGCAAAUACAAGCCGGGUUAUGGAGUGGAUGGAGCAGAAGAAAAGAGUUCUUCCUCAUCUUCUUACAUUUUACGUCUUGAAAGUAAAUACAAGCCGGCUUAUGGAGUGGAUGAAGUAGAGGAAAAGAAUUAUUCUCCCUCAUCUCGUAUUGCACACCUUGAGAGCAAGUACAAGCCAGGUUAUGGAGUGGAUGGAGCAGAGGAAAAGAGUUCUUCCUCAUCUUAUGUUUCACGCCUUGAAAGCAAAUAUAAGCCGGGUUAUGGAGUUGACAAAGAUGAGUAUAUGCAAUCUCCGUCAAGGAUUGAUCAUCAUAACUUGGAAAACGACAGAGAUGAUGACAUAGGAAGUGAAGAUGUAGGUGUAUUCACCAUAGAU
rnacentral:lncRNA from 1 species